UACGUAGGUGGCAAGCGUUAUCCGGAUUUACUGGGCGUAAAGCGUCUGUAGCUGGUUAAGUAAGUCUGUUUUCAAAUAUCUUGACUCAAUCAGGAAAAGGGGAUGGAUACUGCUUUUCUGGAGUAUUGUAGGGGUUAGUGGAAUUUCCAGUGGAGCGGUGAAAUGCGUUGAUAUUGGAAGGAACGCCAAAAGCGAAAGCAGCUAACUAUGCAAUUACUGACAGUGAGAGACGAAAGCUUGGGUAGCAAACGGG
rnacentral:rRNA from 1 species